AUGAGAUACAUCUCAUUUCCCUGGAGAACCUCAAGGAAGCAGCGGUCAGACAAUCCUUUCCUAGCCUGCCUUGGGCAAUGCUGGUGGUACAGCACUGCUGGUACUGCAUGUGGGCUGCAGUGCUGCUACUGGGCUCCUUGGGCAGAGCAUGAUUCAGCCUUCAGUGUUACAGAAGUCCUUAUUCCAAAGGAACCCACAAUUUGGGACAGAACAGGGAUGGUCACAGAUACUGAAUCCAUGCAUUCCAGGAAAGAGGUGGCCACACACAUCGAGCUGAGUUUCCUCCUGGUGAAGCCCUCAUAA
rnacentral:lncRNA from 1 species